AAGGAUUUCUUUUUCUCACAUGCCAAGCUAUCUGGAGAAAAGUGAAUGCUGAGGUGUCAGUGCUUUAACAGUGCCAACACUCUGUGGGUUUCUCGGUUGAUCUUUGACGAAGACUUGGUUGCCCCUUGAUCUCAGGAUGGCUACUGUAACUCCAGACAUCAUGUCUGCAGGCAAGGCUGAAUGGAAGCGAGUGAAGUGAGCUGCCACUUCUCUUCAUUUAUCAUAAAAGCAAAAGGCUUUCCAAAGACUUCCAGAAGACUAUUUCCAGCUCAUUAGCCAGAGACUGAUCACAUGACCACCCCUAGCUACAGCACAAGAGGAUGAUGAGUGGGUAUAUAGUUGGACAUAUGAUGGCACCUGAACAGAAUCAAGGUUCUAUUAGCAGGAAACUAUCUGCCUUGGAGUUUCAAGUUCCAUUUAUGGAAUAAAGGGUAUGAUGAUAUCAAGGGUGAAUGGCCCUUCCCCAGGACCACCUCCAUGGGAGCCACUUCCUCCAUCGCGUCUAACCUCUGUUAUCUUUGCACACAUGAGAACAGGUCAGCAGGUCAGCUGAGGGGCUUGAGGAGCCUCCAGCAGGGGCUGGGCUUAGUUCUCUUUGAGGCAGCUCUGGAACCAGGCCAGUACUUUCCACACAGGUGGAGAUCUCCUGGCAGGGGGCUCAUCUUAUUGUUCCUGCUGUGCUGGUGUCCCCCCCCCCCCCCCACAAAAUUCAUAUGUUGAUUACUAUUUCCUAAUGCAAUAGUAUUAAGAGGUAGGCCUUUGGAGGCAAUUAGUUCAUGAGGGCUCUGCUCUAAUGAAUAAGAUUAGUGCCCUUAUAAGGUAUCUUGUUUGCCUCUUUCACCACGUGAGGACACACAGGAGAUGACGUCUAUGAACUGGAAAGCGGGCCUUCGCCAGAUACUGGAUCUGCUGUCAUCUUAAUCUGGGACUCUUCAGUCUCCACAACUGAAACGGAAACUUUUGGAGGUUGAUACAUGAUCCAGAAUUGCACCCCCAGGAAGGAACAGCCGGGAGAUUCAAAUCCAGAUCUUGUCAUCCAAGGUCUGGUUCCAAGUCUGCCCCUCAGAACCUGAGCCUCCUGGUUGCUCCUCCAAAUUAUCUCAUCACAGCGAAUUCCACCUGUUCAAUUCCACCUGUUCUGA
rnacentral:lncRNA from 10 species